rnacentral:misc_RNA from 1 species
CUGAGUGCGGGCCCUCUGGGUCCAACCUCCCACCCGUGUUUAUCGUACCUUGUUGCUUCGGCGGGCCUCCGUGCCCGCCGGAGACACCUUUGAACGCUGUCUGAAGGUUGCAGUCUGAGUCGAUUUUUUAAAUCAUUA